rnacentral:rRNA from 1 species
CCUACGGGGGGCAGCAGUGGGGAAUAUUGGACAAUGGGCGAAAGCCUGAUCCAGCCAUGCCGCGUGUGUGAAGAAGGCCUUCGGGUUGUAAAGCACUUUCAGUGGGGAAGAAAGCCUUGGGGCUAAUACCCUCGAGGAAGGACAUCACCCACAGAAGAAGCACCGGCUAACUCCGUGCCAGCAGCCGCGGUAAUACGGAGGGUGCGAGCGUUAAUCGGAAUUACCGGGCGUAAAGCGCGCGUAGGCGGUCUGAUAAGCCGGUUGUGAAAGCCCCGGGCUCAACCUGGGAACGGCAUCCGGAACUGGCAGGCGAGAGUGCAGGAGAGGAAGGUAGAAUUCCCGGUGUAGCGGUGAAAUGCGUAGAGAUCGGGAGGAAUACCAGUGGCGAAGGCGGCCUUCUGGACUGACACUGACGCUGAGGUGCGAAAGCGUGGGUAGCAAACAGGAUUAGAUACCCGAGUAGUC